UUCAAAUUCAGGGAUUCUCAACCAAGGCUCUCUGGGGUGGUCCAGUCCUUUGAAGGGUGCCAUCAGGUGUGACCAGAUAAACUAGAGGUGACCACUGGUGACGCAUAGGGAGUGCAUACAGGUGCAUGUGCACCCCCUGAAAUUGGCGGUGCACCCCUUGACUUGUGGACAGCUGCUCACCACGUCCCCCCUUGCCACCGACACUGCCCGUGGCACCUGCGGACAGUUGCCGAUCCCUGCUGGCUGCCGCCGAUGCUGCUGGUGGUCAGUGCUCGCCACCUCCCAGCCCACCGGUGACACCGCCACAGCCGCCUGCAGGAGCUCCCCGCUCGCCACCGUGCUGCUGCUGCCCCCAGCCCGCGGGGGUGACUCUCAGCAGUCUCCUAACUCCUGCAGACUCCAGGGCAGUCCUGGAGGGUUGGCAACCCUGCUACAAGGAGGCAAGCACCAUAAUACAGGCAGUGCUCAGACUUACCAGGCAAUUGGUUCCUGAAACAUUGUAACUCAGAACCAAUUUUCUCAUAAGAAUGUUAUAAAUGGGGGGACUGCAGGCCUGAUACUCUAUUUUCACCAAAAAUACCCCAGAAUUUUGUACUCAGUCCAUUAUAGAUGACUAAUAUAGCGACAUUAAUGUAUUUCUAUUGUAAAUAGCAAUCACAUUGAUUUGGAA